GGGAGACCCGGUGGAUCAUUUGAACAAUGCUCAUUGUUCGAUGCACAUCACUUCCUAUGUCAAGCCAUCAGAAUAUCCAACUACACGUAGCACGUAGGCCUGCGAAUUUAAUGAAGUGUACGACCAACCCAACAGAUCAAACUUGGUGAUCCCAGUGGGGCUAAUUAACCAUGGCCAGCCUUAUACAACCAGAGACAUCACCCUAAUCAACAAACAAAUAACAGAAUUUUUUUUUUAAUCAAACGCAACCGUGUAUGUUAUUUACAACAACCAAAAAUUAUGUGUUACCAGUAAAUCAGGUACUCGGUCUUUAGUUCCAAAAUUCUGAACCACCUAAAGUAAAUUUUCGCGUCAUGAAUGGUUAACAUCACUAAAUGCAGCAGGCAUCCACCCUACUCACCUUUCACGAGGCUUUCAAGAAUGACUAAUAUUCUCAGAAUAUCAUUAUGAUUGCUGAUUAAGAUUUGCUCUUUUUAUUUGAUUUGGAGCCGUUAUCCCCUUUCCGCUUUUUCCCAUUCUUGUGACCAUCAUGCUUUCCAUGUUUUUCCACUCUAGUUCUACUGGAUUUCACACUAAUAAGGCCACCUAAGGUUAUCUUUCCACCAUUUUUCAAUGCAUUCUCAAAAUCACCUUCUCUGUCGACUAUGGCAUACUGUUGGAGAAGCUCAGGAUUCAGCAUACCCUCCAUUUUGGUUUUCAUCCCAUCCUCAACUUGUUUUGCUGCUUCAUUGAGAUCAUCCUCCACAGAGAUGUUGUGAGGUUCCAGCACUCUCUCUUUUAAUCGGGGUAAGGUUGAUUCAAUCUCAUUGGAUGCAAUACCAUAAAGAUAUUUAUGGAACUUCUUCAUAACCUUUAUGAAAAGGGACAGAAUCUGCGUCCUUUCCAACUUCAUUUGUUCCUCCAUGCAUGUAAUGUUCUGAUGCUGCAAACCAAUGCAUAGCAAAACAGAAGCCUGAACAUAUGACAUCGUAAUAGGAAGCUUCCCUUGAAAAUAUAGACGAGCAAGGAUCUGAACAAUGUCUAAUAUCAAAUGAAAAUCAGCAAGAUUUUCAGUAUAUACUCUGAGCCGUUCCAUAUCAUAUGGUGAUAGAUCAAAUCUAAGUGACCUCAAAAAUCCUUCUGGGGUGGAUAAUGUAGUUUCUACAUCUGUAUCCGCAUAGUUGAUCUUGGGAUCAAGGACACUCAUAGCAAGCUUAUAUUCCAUUGUCCGGAAACUAGAUUCCAGCAACCUAGCAAACCUUAGCCUGAAAUCUUGGUAAAAUGGACCAAAAAAUCCCCAAUUAUCUGAUCCGCUGACUUCAAUAUCAUCACUGUUUAAUGGUUUCAGGACCAUACAUGUGUGCUCACCAGUUACAGUACUUGGAAUUUGGCCAAUGUAGAAUGGGGCAAAUUUAUGUUUCCUCCAAAAGCGAAACAGGUCCAAAGUAAGCCCAAAAGAUACACCAAGGUAGUGGAGCUUUUCAGAUCGUCGUUCACGAAGAUGUACUAGCAAAUGUGGAAGGUCUGUCCUUGGUUUUAUAUUUUCUUCUAGCAAGGAAACCUUCUCUGCAGCUUCUGUAACUCUAGUUUGGGGAGAGUCCACAUUGGUUUCAAAAUCCACUUCAGAAAUAGGAGUAAACUGUCCUUCAUAGUACCUUGUUAAAAGUUCCAUUGCGGCAGAACCAUAACCAAGCUUCAUGGCACUUGGAUGGGUGGCAAUGCGUACGAUACGAGCACCCGAAAGGCUGGGGAAAACUGUGUCCCGGAAUUGCUCACAGAAUUUCCAAGGAAUUUGAUCACCAAAUGGUUGAUGGCCAUCACUUAAACUUUUGACUGCAGAUUUACGAGAAAUCUGGCCUUCAAGACUGACCAGUCAAUGAAUUGACCAAGUGACAUGACCAUCAACAUCAUAUAUAUAGUAUUCUUGUAAAGGCUUCAGAUUGCGAAGACUGCUUACUGAAUGACACAUAAGAUGUCAGGAAGUUUAUUUUCUGACUCAUCAACAGGGCCUGCAUAUACAAGAUUAGAGGACACUUCUUGCACAACGACUAAAUCAAAUAAAAUCAGCUCAAAGAGUGUAUAUACCAAGUAACACAAACAAAUGAUGUGCAGGAGCAUCGGCCAUUAGUUGUAAAUCAUUAGGAGAAUUUUUAUAGUGAGAUGCAACAUAUAAAGCCAUCAUUCGCUGCGAAAACAACUCACUGUCUUUGUGAUAGGAAAAAAGCGUAUCCCGAUUAACAUAAUAGAGAUCACACUCACUGGGUGGAGGUAAUCUUCUGAUACUAGGUAUGGAAUUUGUAACAUCCAAGCAAAGUAAAGCAUUAAGCCAGGAUUCAAUUGGAUCAGCAGAAGCAUAUCUGAUAGACUCGUUAAGCUCUAUCUUUUUGAAAAGACAACCUGCAGGCAACACAAUGGUGAACUCAUAAAAUCUUUCAAACAAAUCAUCUAUACAUGUAAAAACAAGUUGUCAGAUACCAAGUAUUGUAAAAGAAAAUAACUCUUAGUGGUGUGCAAUCCAUGGAUUAUAAAAAGAAGCAAAAAGAACAUUCAAACAAUAGUUCAUUCUAGAUAAUUUUUAUUAGGCCUUGCAUUAGCCUAAACAUAUAGUUCAAUGAUGGAUUAGUUAUCUUAUUCAUUCUAAAUUACUGAACUCUUUGUCACCAAUUUCAUUUGAGGAGAUUGAGCAAAUAAGAAGGCCAAAUAAAUUAGCCUGAUUGACUAGAUGUCUAGACUCUAGGAAACAAAAUAAUAUUCCUCAUAUUUCUGGAGUGAGGUUGUAAGUUAUAUUCUCAAGUAAGUUGCAAUUAGGUUGAAGUUAAGCAUUCAGAUCAAAGGAAUUUAGCAUUUGCCCAUAACAUUCAACAUAUACACGGGUUCCACAAAAAACAAAGUUGAUCUUAUAACAAGCAAUAUGCUCAUCAGAGUGACUAGUGACUACCCACUAAGAUAAAAUAAUAUUAACAGAAGGUUUCUUGCAUACUAUUGACUCAUAGCUACAAAAGCCAUGUGAAGAUCAGAUAUACCAGAAAGAGAACCCUCCACAUUCUUGGCAGUCAUGUGGCUUUGUUCUUCCAGUUGCUGCAGAAGUUUUAGCGACAAAGAACGACCAGUGCCUUCAUAGCUUGAAAUGGGAAAAACCAUACAGUAACAGUAUACGAGUAUGUAGAUACUUGAACAAGAACUAGAACUAGACUCCUAAACUCAAGUAGUGCAUUAAGCAUGCAGGUUGAUUGUUUAUUGUGAAAAAUGAAACUCCCAAUGCAAGUCAAUAACAUACCCAUUCACAGUAGAUGAAAGGAAGACCAAGUAUGGACCCAGCAGGGACUUCACAACUGGCAAUGGAAUGGCAGCAGCCUCAUCAACUACCAGUAGUUCCACUUGGGAGAGCUUUUCAUGUUCAUGUGGCUGUAUGUACUGAAUCGUUUGUCUGUGCUGUUUAUAGAUAUUGAUCCGCACAGUUGCUUUCUUGAACUCAGGAUUUGCACUUUUCACAAUAUCAUAAUCAAUAUGUUCCUUAUAUUCAAGUGCAUCAAAACCCUUGCAGAUGAACUCAAACAAAGUUUUCAAGUUUUCAGGGCUGGGUGCGGUUACAAAUAUAUUUGAAUACCCAGCUGCAAUAGCUCCAGCAACUGCUAAACCAAGUGCAGCAGAUUUUCCACGGCCACGAGCAGCAAGUAAAGCAAGUGUACUACGUAGUGUCUUAUCCAAAAUUGCAUCAAGAAAUGUGAUGACAGCUUUUCCCUGAUCUAGCGUGCAACACUUUUUUAUUAGAGGACCAACGGGAAAAUCAUCAUGCAGUUGAUCCUUCAAAUUCUUCAGGUCUCGUUCUGCUUCUGAAAGACCUUCAGAGUCCUCUUUAACUGGAACUGGAGUAAUUGACCGUAUAUGAGAUGAAAUUGGUAAAAUAUUCAGCUCAUCAUCCAUAACCACACAUGCUUUGCAUGAAGCAAGUGAAAGAAGGAAACGCUCAUUAAAGCGCCCAGCAGCCUCAGAAUGGGAUUCAGUACGAAACCUCUCAUGGACAUCCAUGACCAUGGUGUAAAGACUGGUCAAUGAGGAGAGAGACCGUAACAGCAAGACAAUCAAUCCACCACCUUCUACUGUCUCUAUUGUUCUAGCCAAGAGAUUUGGAGUCAAAGCCUCAAAGUCCUGCAAUAUGCACAUUCCAAAAGUAUUCCCAAGUAUUCUUUCAGAAUCCUUGUACAAGCAAUACGUUAGUCCUCCGGUUUCAACAAAAAGUGAGAAAGGAUCAACUUUCUCAGGAUCCAACAGUCCCCUCUGCAUUAGCUUUUUUAUCUGUUUCGCUCUCUUUUUCUUGUGACUGCUAAGUUCAAGCUUGUCUUUAUAGCACCAUAAGACAGUUGGCCUGGAUUUGACCACUGCCUUGCUUAGCAUAUAGUGAAGAUUAACAAUCUGGUCGCGCGACUUGUCACCGAUGAUGAGGAACAUAGAACGGUGCCGUAAUUUGACGCCAUUUUCAAUGAGAGUUCUGAUACGCUCGUCCACCUUCUUUCUCAUUUUAUUCCUCCUUUUCUCUUCACCUCGAGAAGUAAGCAAAGUGAAGCUUAAGCUUUGGCCUUAUCGAUUAAUUAUGAUAUUGUUCUUCUGCAGAUUUUGAGUUUUGAGCUUAAGAUUGCUCUGCUUCUGUUACACUCCACUCUCUGUGUUUUUAGGGCUUAUGCGAGGGUUUUAUAAGAUGGCGGUUAAAUUCGACCAUUGAACCCAUGCUAGGGUAGACGUUUAGUCUAUGAACGGGUUCUGCUUGAACCGCAUCUGUUUGACGUAUGAAUGGCAAUAGGCAGGGCCGGGUUCGUCCACCGUUCUUGCGCCGCAGAAGAUGGAAGGCGGGACGAAGACUUUC
rnacentral:misc_RNA from 1 species